rnacentral:rRNA from 1 species
GAUGAACGUUGGCGGUGUGCCUAAUACAUGCAAGUCGAACGGAGUUAAUAGCAAUAUUGACUUAGUGGCGAACGGGUGAGUAACGCGUUGGUGAUCUGCCUCGAAGUGUGGAAUAACGUUCCGAAAGGAACGCUAAUACCGCAUGUGCUCUCGAUUUUUAGAAACUUGAGAGUAAAGGAUUUAUUCGCUUCGAGAGGAGCCUGCGUCCCAUCAGCUAGUUGGUAAGGUAAUGGCCUACCAAGGCAAUGACGGGUAGGGGACCUGAGAGGGUGGCCCCCCACAAUGGAACUGAAACACGGUCCAUACACCUACGGGUGGCAGCAGUAGGGAAUAUUAGAAAUGGACGAAAGUCUGAUCUAGCGACACCGCGUGUGCGAUGAAGGCCUUCGGGUCGUAAACCGCUUUCAGCAGGGAUGAAAAUGACAGUACCUGCAGAAGAAGCCCCGGCUAAAUACGUG